rnacentral:rRNA from 1 species
UAUGGGUGUGUGCCAGCCGCCGCGGUAAUACGGAGGAUGCGAGCGUUAUCCGGAUUUAUUGGGUUUAAAGGGAGCGCAGACGGGAGAUUAAGUCAGUUGUGAAAGUUUGCGGCUCAACCGUAAAAUUGCAGUUGAUACUGGUUUCCUUGAGUGCAGUUGAGGCAGGCGGAAUUCGUGGUGUAGCGGUGAAAUGCUUAGAUAUCACGAAGAACCCCGAUUGCGAAGGCAGCUUGCUAAACUGUAACUGACGUUCAUGCUCGAAAGUGUGGGUAUCAAACAGG